rnacentral:rRNA from 1 species
UACGAAGGGGGCUAGCGUUAUCCACAAUGAUUGGGCGUAAAGGGUAAUUAGACGGUUUUUUGAGUGUUUUGUGUAAAAAUUUAAAAGUAAUACUUAAAAAAUGCACUAUUUACAGCAAUCACUUGAGUUCAAAGGAGGUUAACAGAAUUUUAUUUCUAGGGCUAAAAUGCAUAGAGUAAUAAAAGAAUGCCAAAGGCGAAGGCAGUUAACUAUUUUGUUCUGACGUUUGUUAGACGAAGGCUAGGGUAGCAAACAGG